rnacentral:rRNA from 1 species
AUUGAACGCUGGCGGCAGGCCUAACACAUGCAAGUCGAGCGAGCGGCGGACGGGUGAGUAAUGUCUGGGAAACUGCCUGAUGGAGGGGGCUAACUACUGGAAACGGUAGCUAAUACCGCAUACCACCAGAUUUGCCCCGAUGGGAUUAGCUAGUAGGUGGGGUAACGGCUCACCUAGGCGACGAUCCCUAGCUGGUCUUGGAGGAUAACCAGCCACACUGGAGCUGAGGCACGGUCCAGACGCGUACGGGAGACCGCAGUGGGUAAUAUUGCACGAUGGGCGCAGGACUGAUGGAGCCAUGCCGCAUGUAUGAAGAAGGCCUUCGGGUUGUAGAGUACUUUCAGCGGGAAGGCGUUACCCGCAGAAGAAGCACCGGCUAACUCCGUGCCAGCCGCCGCGGUAAUAC